rnacentral:tmRNA from 1 species
CCUCUCGUAUUUCGCGGCCGGAGCGCUUAUCUCUGCUCCGUCGCUUCGGCGACUAUGGUGAUAAACACGGUCUGAAAUAAUCGUUGCGGACCCGGGGGCAGUGCCCGGCGCCUCCACCAUCACGGGGGCGAAACAGGCUCGACGCGCGUGGUAAAGAGACCGCUUUUGCCCGGCAUGGUUCCGCCGUCAUCGGGCCGAUUCUAAGUGCGAACGAUAACAGCCGCGAGGCUGUCGCACUCGCUGCCUAGGAAUAGGUAAGCGCGGCUCGGGGGGCGCCGGGCAACAGAAGCCCCCCACU